AAUUCAGUGUAUCUUCAAAGGGAAGCCACUUCUGAUUUGGGUACAAAUAUAUCAAGGUAUAAAUAUAACCACAAGUGUUGACGGAGAGUGGUGAUAAAGAGACGUGUCAGCGUUAUAUAUACAGUAUCAUUGUUUAAUUUAGACUGGUAAUACCCUGAUAAUAGAACUGAAUUAUUUCUGGGAAGCGGACUGUGUGCCAACGCACUCUACCUGCUCCGUUCACAAUUAUUUGCUUUCCUGUGACAUUUCGAGAAUGUCUAAGUGUUCUCCUUCAACAAGGUUGAAUUGCCAAUACCUUCUAAAUACUCAAGGCUUACACUGGAAUAUGUGGCCAAUAGGAAAGAUCGAAGGAAUCUAUACAAUUAAACAGGGCGGAUUCGUCAUCUAUGUGGGGCGGUCCGAAAACAUACCACAACGUCUGAAGUCACACUGCUACGGAAAAAAGCAACGCAUCGAUAAACUCAUUCGUCGUACCAAUACCUGGAGCCUUACAUACAACUACGUGCAUGACGCCUUCCAGAGGUGCAAUGAACACUGCUACGUACACAUGAUUGGUCAAUUGCAGGGUAAAUGGCCGGAGUACAACAUGCAGAAAGGAAAUACCUGUGACAACCCAAAACAAUGUAAGAGAAAGUGAACCCAGUGACAAGGAAACAAAUGUGUGAUUCUCCGGACUGAAAUAUCAGGGGAUUGUCAUGAUGCCGUUGGAGAUUCUCCUGGCGCACCUAUAGCUAAUUUGAAAGCACAUUUGAAUGGAAUGUACAUCUGAGAUUUGUGCUGAACACAACUUUGUAUGUAAAGUGGAAUAACACGGCUCUGACGGCAAUUUAGUAAUAUCUCAUAUAUUUUUUCAUUUCUGAACGAAUAUAUCAAUGCCAUUUCCAUGAUCCCUAGUCAAUAAAAUAAAAUUUAUAUGUGAAGAACUCCCGUUUUAAAGCCAAGGAAGUAAAGACAACAUGAACAUAACAAAAUGGUAAAGAAUGAAAAAUACUGAUGAAUGGAUUCGACGUUUCAAUAAACAAAUCAUCUCUACUGAGAAAGGAUCAACAUGCUGUAGUUAACAUGGUUACCAAAGUAACGUACAACAAACCUUCAUCUCUUCAAAA